AAAAUAUCUAGCCUUAUCGCUAGGAUGUAUAUAUAUAUAUGUUUAACUAAACUACCUGUUCCUCUACGAUCACCGGUAUACCUAUGAACAAGUUCUUUACCACAAGUUUUUGCAUUUAGCCCUAUCUUUAUAUCUUAGUUGAAUAAAAAAAUUGCCAAACUAAUGAAGUUUCUGUACGUUUCCGAGGUUGUCUACUAAAAGUGGGAGUUUGUAC
rnacentral:lncRNA from 1 species